GACGAACGCUGGCGGCGUGCUUAACACAUGCAAGUCGAACGGAAAGGCCUUUUCUGAGGUACUCGAGUGGCGCACGGGUGAGUAACACGUGGGUGAUCUGCCCUGCUCUCUGGGAUAAGCCUGGGAAACUGGGUCUAAUACCGGAUAGGGCCGCACUUUAGUGUGUGUGGUGGUAAGUUUUUUCGGUGUAGGAUUAGCCCGCUGCCUAUCAUCUUGUUGGUGGGGUAAUGGCUUACCAAGGCGGCGACGGGUAGCCGGACUGGGAGGUUGGUCGUCCGCAUUGGGACUGAGAUAAGGCCCAGACUCCUACGGGGGGCAGAAGAGGGGAAUAUUGCACAAUGGGGGCAAGCCUGAUGCAGAGAAGCCGCGUGGUGGAUGACGGCCUUCGAGUUGUAAACUCCUUUCGCCAGGGACGAAGCGUUUUGUGACGGUACCUGGAGAAGAAGCACCGGCUAACUACGUG
rnacentral:rRNA from 1 species